CAGCUGAGUUCUCUAGUCAGCUUCCCCCAGAUGGAGGAGCAUUUUACACUCCCGAGACCAUCGAUACAGCGAGACUUCACUACCGGAACUCCUGGGCCCCAAUUCUCCAUGCAGUGGCACUUUGGUUAAACAGCACAGGAUUUACAUGUCAGGAGUCCACAGAAGCCACAGCUGUAUCUGGAGGACAGAAGCGCUCCCCGGCUGUCAGUUUAAACCAGGUUCCAGGAGCCAUGGCUAGUGCUAAACCCCUGCCAGAAGUUAACAAAGACAGAAUGCACCUGAUCCUAGGUGUGAGUAUACAGUUUCUUUGUUCCCCUCGACCAGAGGAGCCCAUUGAACACGUUACAGCAUGCCUGCAGGCCUUACACACCUUACUGGGCUCUCCUUAU
rnacentral:lncRNA from 1 species